GCUUGUCUCAAAGAUUAAGCCAUGCAUGUCUAAGUAUAAAUAAUUCUAUACUGUGAAACUGCGAAUGGCUCAUUAUAUCAGUUAUAGUUUAUUUGAUAGUCAAUCACUACUUGGAUAACCGUAGUAACUCUAGAGCUAAUACAUGCGUCAAGUCCCGACUAGCGCAAGCUGGAAAGGAUGUAUUUAUUAGAUGGAAACCAAUGCGGGGCAACCCGGUAUAUGGUGAUUCAUAAUAACUUUCGGAUCGAUCUUCGGAUCGAUGCAUCAUUCAAGUUUCUGCCCUAUCAGCUUUGGAUGGUAGGGUAUUGGCCUACCAUGGCUUUAACGGGUAACGGAGAAUUAGGGUUCGAUUCCGGAGAGGGAGCCUGAGAAAUGGCUACCACAUCCAAGGAAGGCAGCAGG
rnacentral:rRNA from 1 species